GACGAACGCUGGCGGCGUGCUUAAUACAUGCAAGUCAACUGAACUUUAGGUAGCAAUAUUUAAAGGGAGGUGGCGCACGGGUGAGUAACACGUAGGUAAUCUGCCUUCAGGACUGACAUAAUUCCGCGAAAGCGGGACUAAAAUCAGAUGAUGCAGCGGCUCGACAUCGAGACAGUUGUUAAACCUUCGGGGCCUGAAGAUGAGCCUGCGUCUGAUUAGGUAGUUGGCGGGGUAAAAGCCCACCAAGCCUGCGAUCAGUAGCUGGUCUGAGAGGAUGAUCAGCCACACUGGAACUGAGACACGGUCCAGACUCUACGGGAGGCAGCAGUAAGGAAUAUUGCUCAAUGGCCGAAAGGCUGAAGCAGCAACG
rnacentral:rRNA from 1 species